rnacentral:lncRNA from 1 species
CAGGAGGCAGCCUGAGGGCUGGGGCGGGAGGUAAGUCCUGCCUGGGGAGGGGGUCCACAGACGCUGCCUUCUUCUUCUUGUUGUCUCCCUCCAGCUCGAGCUGAGGCUUCUGCUCCAGGAGUUAUCUGCUCCAGGCCUCCUUCUUAACCCCUCCAGAGCCAGUGCCCCGGUGAUCUCUCUGGGUCUCUGUUUGAGUCUGGUCUCCAGGCAACAGGUGUGGGACUGGCUUCCUGGUGUUGGAGGAGAGAGGAGCUUGUUCAGCCCAGUCUGGAGUGGCAUGCUCUUCUUGGUUCAGCCGGAAGAUUCAGGCCCAGUUGCUUCUGAAGGAAAGGGAGAAGAUGGAUGACAAACUGAGCGGCAUGGAAAGAAACCUUGACUUUUUUCUCUGGAGAGAGAUCCAGGUCUGAAACCCAUCUGUGGAGCAAGCUGACGAUGCUGUUAACUCGACUCCACUGAGGAUGCAUACUGUCAGUUUUCAUGAAAAUUCAAUAAAGUCAACUCCCCAAUGGAUGGAGCA